rnacentral:rRNA from 2 species
CUGGCUCAGGACGAACGCUGGCGGCGUGCCUAAUACAUGCAAGUCGAGCGAAGAUAUCUGGUGCUUGCACUAGAUAACUUAGCGGCGAACGGGUGAGUAACACGUAAAGAACCUGCCUCAUAGACUGGGACAACUACGGGAAACUGUAGCUAAUACCGGAUAACAGAAUUAACCGCAUGGUUAAUAUUUAAAAGUUGGUCAAGCUAACACUAUGAGAUGGCUUUGCGGUGCAUUAGCUAGUUGGUAGGGUAAAGGCCUACCAAGGCGACGAUGCAUAGCCGACCUGAGAGGGUGAACGGCCACACUGGGACUAGACACGGCCCAGACUCCUACGGGAGGCAGCAGUAGGGAAUCUUCCGCAAUGGGCGAAAGCCUGACGGAGCAACGCCGCGUGAGUGAAGAAGGAUUUCGGUUCGUAAAGCUCUGUUGUUAGGGAAGAAAGGUUGUGUAGUAACUAUACACAAAACAGACGGUACCUAACCAGAAAGCCACGGCUAACUACGUGCCAGCAGCCGCGGUAAUACGUAGGUGGCAAGCGUUGUCCGGAAUUAUUGGGCGUAAAGCGCGCGCAGGUGGUUUAAAAAGUCUGAUGUGAAAGCCCACGGCUCAACCGUGGAGGGUCAUUGGAAACUGUUAAACUUGAGUGCAGGAGAGAAAAGUGGAAUUCCUAGUGUAGCGGUGAAAUGCGUAGAGAUUAGGAGGAACACCAGUGGCGAAGGCGGCUUUUUGGCCUGUAACUGACACUGAGGCGCGAAAGCGUGGGGAGCAAACAGGAUUAGAUACCCUGGUAGUCCACGCCGUAAACGAUGAGUGCUAAGUGUUGGUCUCAUAAGAGAUCAGUGCUGCAGCAAACGCAUUAAGCACUCCGCCUGGGGAGUACGACCGCAAGGUUGAAACUCAAAGGAAUUGACGGGGACCCGCACAAGCGGUGGAGCAUGUGGUUUAAUUCGAAGCAACGCGAAGAACCUUACCAAGUCUUGACAUACUGUGAAGAGAUAAGAGAUUAUGUUGUUCUGGCCUAUGGUUAGACACAGAUACAGGUGGUGCAUGGUUGUCGUCAGCUCGUGUCGUGAGAUGUUGGGUUAAGUCCCGCAACGAGCGCAACCCUUAUAUCUAGUUGCCAGCAGUAAGAUGGGGACUCUAGAUAGACUGCCAGUGAUAAACUGGAGGAAGGUGGGGAUGACGUCAAAUCAUCAUGCCCCUUAUGACUUGGGCUACACACGUGCUACAAUGGAUAGGAACAAAGAGAAGCGAAGGCGCAAGUUGGAGCGAACCUCACAAAACUAUUCUCAGUUCGGAUUGUAGUCUGCAACUCGACUACAUGAAGCUGGAAUCGCUAGUAAUCGCGAAUCAGAAUGUCGCGGUGAAUACGUUCCCGGGUCUUGUACACACCGCCCGUCACACCACGAGAGUUUGUAACACCCGAAGACGGUGGCCUAACCUUUAUAGGA